rnacentral:tRNA from 1 species
GGGAACGUGGCUCAGUGGUAGAGUGCUUGCCUAGCAUGCAUGAAGCCUUGGGUUCGAUUCCUCAGUACCA